AUACGGAGGGUGCAAGCGUUACUCGGAAUCACAGGGCGUAAAGCGCGCGCAGGCGGCUAUUUAAGUUGGAUGUGAAAGCCUACGGCUCAACCGUAGAACUGCAUCCAAAACUAUUUAGCUAGAGUGUGGGAGAGGAAGAUGGAAUUAGUUGUGUAGGGGUAAAAUCCGUAGAGAUAACUAGGAAUACCAAAAGCGAAGGCAAUCUUCUGGAACACUACUGACGCUGAGGCGCGAAAGCGUGGGGAGCAAACAGGAUUAGAUACCCUUGUAGUCC
rnacentral:rRNA from 1 species